AACGCUAGCUACAGGCUUAACACAUGCAAGUCGAGGGGCAGCAUGGUCUUAGCUUGCUAAGGCCGAUGGCGACCGGCGCACGGGUGAGUAACACGUAUCCAACCUGCCGUCUACUCUUGGACAGCCUUCUGAAAGGAAGAUUAAUACAAGAUGGCAUCAUGAGUUCACAUGUUCACAUGAUUAAAGGUAUUCCGGUAGACGAUGGGGAUGCGUUCCAUUAGAUAGUAGGCGGGGUAACGGCCCACCUAGUCUUCGAUGGAUAGGGGUUCUGAGAGGAAGGUCCCCCACAUUGGAACUGAGACACGGUCCAAACUCCUACGGGAGGCAGCAGUGAGGAAUAUUGGUCAAUGGGCGCAGGCCUGAACCAGCCAAGUAGCGUGAAGGAUGACUGCCCUAUGGGUUGUAAACUUCUUUUAUAAAGGAAUAAAGUCGGGUAUGUAUACCCGUUUGCAUGUACUUUAUGAAUAAGGAUCGGCUAACUCCGUGCCAGCAGCCGCGGUAAUACGGAGGAUCCGAGCGUUAUCCGGAUUUACUGGGUUUAAAGGGAGCGUAGGUGGAUGUUUAAGUCAGUUGUGAAAGUUUGCGGCUCAACCGUAAAAUUGCAGUUGAUACUGGAUAUCUUGAGUGCAGUUGAGGCAGGCGGAAUUCGUGGUGUAGCGGUGAAAUGCUUAGAUAUCACGAAGAACUCCGAUUG
rnacentral:rRNA from 1 species